rnacentral:rRNA from 1 species
UACAGAGGUCUCAAGCGUUUGUUCGGAUUCAUUGGGCGUAAAGGGCGCGUAGGCGGCGGGGUAAGUCGGGUGUGAAAUCUCAGAGCUCAACUCUGAAAUGGCACUUGAUACUGCUCUGCUAGAGGACUGGAGAGGAGAUUGGAAUUCACGGUGUAGCAGUGAAAUGCGUAGAUAUCGUGAGGAAGACCGGUGGCGAAGGCGGAUCUCUGGACAGUUCCUGACGCUGAGGCGCGAAGGCCAGGGGAGCAAACGGG